rnacentral:tRNA from 2 species
AGAAUUAUAGCUUAAUGGUAAAGCAACCCACUCAUAAUGGGUCUAUCAGAGUUCAAUUCUCUGUUAUUCUA